AUCAGCACCACGGACAGCUCCGUUGACGGCCGGCCUGCUCAUUAAUAUUCAUGAGCACAUUCAUGAAUAUUCAUGUCUACAUUAGCCGCCACGCUGAUUAUAUAGGAUAUGGCUAUGGGGUCAAUAGGACACGGCUAUGGGGUCAAUAGGAUUUGGCUAUGGGGUCAAUAGGAUAUGGCUAUGGGGUCAAAAGGAUGGGGAUAUGGGGUCAAUAGGACACGGCUAUGGGGUCAAUAGGAUUUGGCUAUGGGGUCAAUAGGAUAUGGCUAUGGGGUCACUGGGAUGGGGCUAUGGGGUCAAUAGGAUGGGGCUAUGGGGUCAAUAGAGUGGGGCUAUGGGGUCAAUAGGAUAUGGCUAUGGGGUCAAUGGGAUGGGGCUAUGGGGUCAAUGGGAUAUGGAUAUGGUGUCAGUGGGAUAUGGAUAUGGGGUCAGUAGGAUGGGGCUAUGGGGUCAAUAGGAUGGGGCUAUGGGGUCAAUAGGAUAUGGCUAUGGGGUCAAUAGGAUGGGGCUAUGGGGUCAAUAGGAUAUGGGGCUAUGGGGUCAAUGGGACGGGGCUAUGGGGUCAAUAGGAUUUGGCUAUGGGGUCAGUAGGAUAUGGGGCUAUGGGGUCAAUAGGAUGGGGCUAUGCGGUCAAUAGGACACGGCUAUGGGGUCAAUAGGACACGGCUAUGGGGUCAAUAGGAUUUGGCUAUGGGGUCAAUAGGAUAUGGCUAUGGGGUAAAUAGGAUAUGGCUAUGGGGUCAAUAGGAUAUGGCAAUGGGGUCAAUAGGAUGGGGCUAUGGGGUCAAUAGGACACGGCUAUGGGGUCAAUGGGAUGGGGCUAUGGGGUCAAUAGGAUGGGGCUAUGGGGUCAAUAGGAUAUGGCUAUGGGGUCAAUGGGAUAUGGCUAUGGGGUCAGAGCACCCAUCGGUUAUGGGGUCGGAGCUCCCAUUGGUUAUGGGGUCAGAUUGUCCCCAUGUUAUGGGGUCAGAGCUCCCGUUGGUUAUGGGGUCGGAGCUCCCAUUGGUUAUGGGGUCAGAGCAUCGUUAUGUUAUGGGGUCGGAGCACCCAUUGGUUAUGGGGUCAGAGCAUCCCAUUGUUAUGGGGUCAGAUUGUCCCCAUGUUAUGGGGUCGGAGCACCCAAUUUAUGGGGUCAGAGCACCCAUUGGUUAUGGGGUCGGAGCACACAUUGGUUAUGGGGUCAAAUUGUCCCCAUCUUAUGGGGUCGGAGCACCCAUUGGUUAUGGGGUCAUAUUGUCCCCAUGUUAUGGGGUCGGAGCUCCCGUUGGUUAUGGGGUCAGAACAUCCAUUGGUUAUGGGGUCAGAGCGUGCAUUGCUUAUGGGGUCAGAUUGUCCCCAUGUUAUGGGGGCAGAGCAUCAUUAUAUUAUGGGGUCAGAGCUCCCAUUGGUUAUGGGGUCAGAGCACCCAUUGGUUAUGGGGUUGGAGCACCCCUUGGUUAUGGGGUCAGAUUGUCCCCAUGUUAUGGGGUCAGAGCACCCAUUGGUUAUGGGGUCAGAUUGUCCCCAUGUUAUGGGGUCAGAGCAUCGUUAUGUUAUGGGGUCAGAGCUCCCAUUGGUUAUGGGGUCAGAUUGUCCCCAUGUUAUGGGGUCAGAGCAUCGUUAUGUUAUGGGGUCGGAGCACCCAUUGGUUAUGGGGUCAGAGCGUCCAUUGGUUAUGGGGUCAGAUUGUCCCCAUGUUAUGGGGUCGGAGCUCCCAUUGGUUGUGGGGUCAGAACAUCCAUUGGUUAUGGGGUCAGAGCACCCAUUGGUUAUGGGGUCAGAUUGUCCCCAUGUUAUGGGGCCAGAGCGUCCUCUGGUUAUGGGGUCAGAGCAUCGUUAUGUUAUGGGGUCGGAGCACCCAUUGGUUAUGGGGUCAGAUUGUCCCCAUGUUAUGGGGUCAGAGCAUCAUUAUGUUAUAGGGUCAGAGCGCCCAUUGGUUAUGGGGUCAGAUCCCUCAUUGGUUAUGGGGUUGGAGCACCCCUUGGUUAUGGGGUCAGAUUGUUCCCAUGUUAUGGGGUCAGAGCAUCUCUAUGUUAUGGGGUCAGAGCGCCCAUUGGUUAUGGGGUCGGAGCUCCCAUUGGUUAUGGGGUCGGAGCGUCCUCUGGUUAUGGGGUCAGAGCACCCAUUGGUUAUGGGGUCGGAGCUCCCAUUGGUUCUGUGAUUACAGCAUCCCAUGUUAUGGGGUCAGAGCAUCAUUAUGUUAUGGGGUCAGAGCACCCAUUGGUUAUGGGGUUGGAGCGUUCAUUGGUUAUGGGGUCAGAGAAUCCAUUGGUUAUGGGGUCAGAUUGUCCCCAUGUUAUGGGGUCAGAGCAUCCCUAUGUUAUGGGGUCAGAGCUCCCAUUGGUUAUGGGGUAGGAGCUCCCAUUGUUUAUGGGGUCAGAGCACCCCUUGGUUAUGGGGUCCGAUUGUCCCCAUGCUAUAGGGUCAGAGCACCCAUUGGUUAUGGGGUCAGAGCGUCCAUUGGUUAUGGGGUCAGAGCAUCCAUUGAUUAUGGGGUCAGAUUGUCCCCAUGUUAUGGGGUCAGAGCGUUCUCUGGUUAUGGGGUCAGACCAUCAUUAUGUUAUGGGGUCAGAGCACCCAUUGGUU
ensembl:lncRNA